rnacentral:rRNA from 1 species
GCUAUGUUGGCCGGGCGACGGUUGUCCCGGUUUAAGCGUGUAGGUGUGUGUUCCAGGUAAAUCCGGUUCACUUUAACACUGAGGCGUGAUGACGAGGCACUACGGUGCUGAAGCAACAAAUGCCCUGCUUCCAGGAAAAGCCUCUAAGCAUCAGGUAACAUCAAAUCGUACCCCAAACCGACACAGGUGGUCAGGUAGAGAAUACCAAGGCGCUUGAGAGAACUCGGGUGAAGGAACUAGGCAAAAUGGUGCCGUAACUUCGGGAGAAGGCACGCUGACACGUAGGUGAAGUGAUUUACUCAUGGAGCUGAAGUCAGUCGAAGAUACCAGCUGGCUGCAACUGUUUAUUAAAAACACAGCACUGUGCAAACACGAAAGUGGACGUAUACGGUGUGACGCCUGCCCGGUGCCGGAAGGUUAAUUGAUGGGGUCAGCGCAAGCGAAGCUCCUGAUCGAAGCCCCGGUAAACGGCGGCCGUAACUAUAACGGUCCUAAGGUAGCGAAAUUCCUUGUCGGGUAAGUUCCGACCUGCACGAAUGGCGUAAUGAUGGCCAGGCUGUCUCCACCCGAGACUCAGUGAAAUUGAACUCGCUGUGAAGAUGCAGUGUACCCGCGGCAAGACGGAAAGACCCCGUGAACCUUUACUAUAGCUUGACACUGAACAUUGAGCCUUGAUGUGUAGGAUAGGUGGGAGGCUUUGAAGCGUGGACGCCAGUCUGCGUGGAGCCGACCUUGAAAUACCACCCUUUAAUGUUUGAUGUUCUAACGUGGACCCGUGAUCCGGGUUGCGGACAGUGUCUGGUGGGUAGUUUGACUGGGGCGGUCUCCUCCUAAAGAGUAACGGAGGAGCACGAAGGUUGGCUAAUCCUGGUCGGACAUCAGGAGGUUAGUGCAAUGGCAUAAGCCAGCUUGACUGCGAGCGUGACGGCGCGAGCAGGUGCGAAAGCAGGUCAUAGUGAUCCGGUGGUUCUGAAUGGAAGGGCCAUCGCUCAACGGAUAAAAGGUACUCCGGGGAUAACAGGCUGAUACCGCCCAAGAGUUCAUAUCGACGGCGGUGUUUGGCACCUCGAUGUCGGCUCAUCACAUCCUGGGGCUGAAGUAGGUCCCAAGGGUAUGGCUGUUCGCCAUUUAAAGUGGUACGCGAGCUGGGUUUAGAACGUCGUGAGACAGUUCGGUCCCUAUCUGCCGUGGGCGCUGGAGAACUGAGGGGGGCUGCUCCUAGUACGAGAGGACCGGAGUGGACGCAUCACUGGUGUUCGGGUUGUCAUGCCAAUGGCACUGCCCGGUAGCUAAAUGCGGAAGAGAUAAGUGCUGAAAGCAUCUAAGCACGAAACUUGCCCCGA